CAGGCAUGCUGAGCUCCGCAGCGGCGCCUGGGAUUGUUGGUCCCGACACCGUGACUAAACACGGAGCUUGA
rnacentral:ncRNA from 1 species